ACGGAACGUUAGUGUAUGACAUGGUUUAACACUCAGACAAGUAUCCCUACUCGGACCGGGUUGGCCCAGAUUUGACAUGAGCGUCUCUGGCUACACGGUCGUGGUACAUAUAGUCUUUGAUGUCUAUACAGAGCACUGUAGUCUGGCCUGAAUUACACACACACACCCUGCACAUUGACUGUGGCUUCCCUCGGUUUGUGCCAGACUUGGAUGCACGUAUUUGGUGGGGCGCUUUAGGCGGCCUCCCGCAAGAAUACGUUAUGGUUUUUAAUUAAUCAAAAUGUGCAAUUUUACAUCGUUUUGGACCAUUAAUACCAUAUCUGUGCCAAACAUGUUGAAAAAGCUAACAUUGGAGCAUAUAAAUGACACUAAAAGCUUAAAGACAGAACUUGCUAAAGAAGUCCACUAGGGACCAACUAUCAUAUCUGAGAAGUCAUUUAUUUUUUAUGCUCACAUUGAUUUUAGAGCUGCAAAGAUCAACAGAUCAGUUGUCAGCUAUUGAAUUAAUUGCCAACUAUUGAGAUGGAUUAAUGGGUUUGAGGUAUUUCUGAAAGUCAAAAUUCUGACCUUUAAGCCAAUGCGGAGUUAGACAUGUGCAGACUAACCACUCAAUGUACAACGGUUGUUUUGGGCACUAUUUUCUUUCAUGGUCAUUUUAACAUAAUUUGGUGUACAUAUCUGCUUAGACAAACUUUCCAUCAAAUCCAAAUGUGCGCUUUGGUUCUCUGGUCUAGGAUGAUACUUGUUGAGCUGAUGUUUUGCUGAUGCAUUCACAACUGCUUACCAAAAGACUGAGACUUGAGAU